rnacentral:rRNA from 1 species
UUAAGUUAUUAAGGGCGCACGGUGGAUGCCUUGGCACUAGAAGCCGAUGAAGGACGUUACUAACGACGAUAUGCUUUGGGGAGCUGUAAGUAAGCUUUGAUCCAGAGAUUUCCGAAUGGGGAAACCCAGCAUGAGUUAUGUCAUGUUAUCGAUAUGUGAAUACAUAGCAUAUCAGAAGGCACACCCGGAGAACUGAAACAUCUUAGUACCCGGAGGAAGAGAAAGAAAAUUCGAUUCCCUUAGUAGCGGCGAGCGAAACGGGAAGAGCCCAAACCAACAAGCUUGCUUGUUGGGGUUGUAGGACACUCUAUACGGAGUUACAAAGGACGACAUUAGACGAAUCAUCUGGAAAGAUGAAUCAAAGAAGGUAAUAAUCCUGUAGUCGAAAAUCUUGUCUCUCUUGAGUGGAUCCUGAGUACGACGGAGCACGUGAAAUUCCGUCGGAAUCUGGGAGGACCAUCUCCUAAGGCUAAAUACUCUCUAGUGACCGAUAGUGAACCAGUACCGUGAGGGAAAGGUGAAAAGCACCCCGGAAGGGGAGUGAAAUAGAACCUGAAACCGUGUGCUUACAAGUAGUCAGAGCCCGUUAAUGGGUGAUGGCGUGCCUUUUGUAGAAUGAACCGGCGAGUUACGAUUUGAUGCAAGGUUAAGCAGUAAAUGUGGAGCCGUAGCGAAAGCGAGUCUGAAUAGGGCGUUUAGUAUUUGGUCGUAGACCCGAAACCAGGUGAUCUACCCUUGGUCAGGUUGAAGUUCAGGUAACACUGAAUGGAGGACCGAACCGACUUACGUUGAAAAGUGAGCGGAUGAACUGAGGGUAGCGGAGAAAUUCCAAUCGAACCUGGAGAUAGCUGGUUCUCUCCGAAAUAGCUUUAGGGCUAGCCUCAAGUGAUGAUUAUUGGAGGUAGAGCACUGUUUGGACGAGGGGCCCCUCUCGGGUUACCGAAUUCAGACAAACUCCGAAUGCCAAUUAAUUUAACUUGGGAGUCAGAACAUGGGUGAUAAGGUCCGUGUUCGAAAGGGAAACAGCCCAGACCACCAGCUAAGGUCCCAAAAUAUAUGUUAAGUGGAAAAGGAUGUGGCGUUGCCCAGACAACUAGGAUGUUGGCUUAGAAGCAGCCAUCAUUUAAAGAGUGCGUAAUAGCUCACUAGUCGAGUGACACUGCGCCGAAAAUGUACCGGGGCUAAACAUAUUACCGAAGCUGUGGAUUGUCCUUUGGACAAUGGUAGGAGAGCGUUCUAAGGGCGUUGAAGCAUGAUCGUAAGGACAUGUGGAGCGCUUAGAAGUGAGAAUGCCGGUGUGAGUAGCGAAAGACGGGUGAGAAUCCCGUCCACCGAUUGACUAAGGUUUCCAGAGGAAGGCUCGUCCGCUCUGGGUUAGUCGGGUCCUAAGCUGAGGCCGACAGGCGUAGGCGAUGGAUAACAGGUUGAUAUUCCUGUACCACCUAUAAUCGUUUUAAUCGAUGGGGGGACGCAGUAGGAUAGGCGAAGCGUGCGAUUGGAUUGCACGUCUAAGCAGUAAGGCUGAGUAUUAGGCAAAUCCGGUACUCGUUAAGGCUGAGCUGUGAUGGGGAGAAGACAUUGUGUCUUCGAGUCGUUGAUUUCACACUGCCGAGAAAAGCCUCUAGAUAGAAAAUAGGUGCCCGUACCGCAAACCGACACAGGUAGUCAAGAUGAGAAUUCUAAGGUGAGCGAGCGAACUCUCGUUAAGGAACUCGGCAAAAUGACCCCGUAACUUCGGGAGAAGGGGUGCUCUUUAGGGUUAACGCCCAGAAGAGCCGCAGUGAAUAGGCCCAAGCGACUGUUUAUCAAAAACACAGGUCUCUGCUAAACCGUAAGGUGAUGUAUAGGGGCUGACGCCUGCCCGGUGCUGGAAGGUUAAGAGGAGUGGUUAGCUUCUGCGAAGCUACGAAUCGAAGCCCCAGUAAACGGCGGCCGUAACUAUAACGGUCCUAAGGUAGCGAAAUUCCUUGUCGGGUAAGUUCCGACCCGCACGAAAGGCGUAACGAUUUGGGCACUGUCUCAACGAGAGACUCGGUGAAAUCAUAGUACCUGUGAAGAUGCAGGUUACCCGCGACAGGACGGAAAGACCCCGUGGAGCUUUACUGUAGCCUGAUAUUGAAAUUCGGCACAGCUUGUACAGGAUAGGUAGGAGCCUUUGAAACGUGAGCGCUAGCUUACGUGGAGGCGCUGGUGGGAUACUACCCUAGCUGUGUUGGCUUUCUAACCCGCACCACUUAUCGUGGUGGGAGACAGUGUCAGGCGGGCAGUUUGACUGGGGCGGUCGCCUCCUAAAAGGUAACGGAGGCGCUCAAAGGUUCCCUCAGAAUGGUUGGAAAUCAUUCAUAGAGUGUAAAGGCAUAAGGGAGCUUGACUGCGAGACCUACAAGUCGAGCAGGGUCGAAAGACGGACUUAGUGAUCCGGUGGUUCCGCAUGGAAGGGCCAUCGCUCAACGGAUAAAAGCUACCCCGGGGAUAACAGGCUUAUCUCCCCCAAGAGUUCACAUCGACGGGGAGGUUUGGCACCUCGAUGUCGGCUCAUCGCAUCCUGGGGCUGUAGUCGGUCCCAAGGGUUGGGCUGUUCGCCCAUUAAAGCGGUACGCGAGCUGGGUUCAGAACGUCGUGAGACAGUUCGGUCCCUAUCCGUCGUGGGCGUAGGAAAUUUGAGAGGAGCUGUCCUUAGUACGAGAGGACCGGGAUGGACAUACCUCUGGUGUACCAGUUGUCGUGCCAACGGCAUAGCUGGGUAGCUAUGUGUGGACGGGAUAAGUGCUGAAAGCAUCUAAGCAUGAAGCCCCCCUCAAGAUGAGAUUUCCCAACUUCGGUUAUAAGAUCCCUCAAAGAUGAUGAGGUUAAUAGGUUCGAGGUGGAAGCAUGGUGACAUGUGGAGCUGACGAAUACUAAUCGAUCGAAGACUUAAUCAA